AUGGCGAAGAUGAGGAGCCGCUCAGCAUUGCUGUUGCAUCCAGAGGCUGCAGCUCACAUGGGAAUGUGGACUUGGCAGAGAAGCUGGACUGGCGAUCCCAGGAGAAGCUCUGCGGUAUCUGGACACGAAAAGCCCAAGUCAAGCGUGGGAAAGAACCAAGACGAUCUGAGUGUCAGGUAGAGCAAGGCUGAGAGACAGAGGCAGAUAAGGGAGUGGCAGCAAAAGACUGUUUCACCCACACCCCAGGAGGGACUCAGUUCAAGAUUCAGGUUUUUCAAAAUUUCCAGAGACUGUUUUCAAGGUGCCUUUGAAAGUCCAGGUGUGCUGUGAGGCAAAGUUGCUCCACUCCCGAGUUCCGCUGCUCAGAUUCCCAGAGCCUCCAGGGUUCUUUCUACCAGUUGGAAGAGGUCUGCUGCCUCCCAGCCUUUUUCUCAAGAGGAAGUAGGAAG
rnacentral:lncRNA from 1 species